GAUGAAGAACGUAGCGAAAUGCGAUAAGUAGUGUGAAUUGCAGAAUUCAGUGAAUCAUCGAAUCUUUGAACGCACAUUGCGCCCUUUGGUAUUCCCUAGGGCAUGCCUGUUCGAGCGUCAUUUAAACCUUCAAGCUCAGCUUGGUGUUGGGUGACUGUCCGCUUCACCGCGGACUCGCCUCAAAAUUAUUGGCGGCCGGUACAUUGGCUUCGAGCGCAGCAGAAACGCGAACUCGGGCCCGUCGUAUUGGCUCCCAGAAGCUAUCUUCACAAUUUUGACCUCGGAUCAGGUAGGGAUACCCGCUGAACUUAAGCAUAUCAUAAGCGGAGGA
rnacentral:misc_RNA from 1 species